UGUACUACACAAACAUUAGUACCAUACAACAAAAAAAAUUAUUUUAACACAAAGCACAAAGUAGAACGUCUUUCUUCACCAUUUUUAAGAAGGAAUUCAUUUCUCAUUAAAGAAACAAAGCAAAGAAAAAGAGCGUUCUCAAAAAAAAAACUUCUCCAAAAAAAUCUCAAUCCAAGAUGGAGCAACAGAGGGGAGCAUAAUCUCAUUCUUACUAUCUCCAUUUCAAAUAUGUAUAUAUAUAUAUAUAUAUGUAUAUAUAUAUAUUAAUUUUUUUAAAACAGGCCGGUUCUGAAAAAAAAAAAACUUCAAUGCGUCUGAUUGGAUCAGCGGUGCAUCCGAUCGGAUUAGCGAUGGCGCGUCUGACCGGCUUAGUGAUAAAUAGGACAAAUGGGCCAGGCUGGGUCGAUUCAUGUGGGCGAGCCAUGACCCGAAAUAUCCAACAUAUUAUAGUUAGUUUGACUUUAACUCAAGUUAAAGUUCUUUGAUUUUCUACUUUGGGAUGGGGAGAACUUCAUAUUCUAUCUCUUUAAAUUUGUUUACAUGUUGAAAUUAACAAACUAAUAUGCUUGAGACAAUAUAUGUAUAAGUUAUAACUGUUCAUUAAAUACUAAGAAUAUAGUAGUAAAAAAAAAAAUCAAUCUUAAGUUGAAUUAAAAAAACACUUACUUUUUUCUACAAUGCAAUGACCGAAGAACUUAACAAUAAAUAAAAUGAAUUAAAUGAAGAAAUUAAAACUCUCUCGUGUUUAAUGUCUCCUCUUGAUUGUUGAAUUACUCAUUUGAACAGUAAUAAAACAAGAACUCUCGUAAAAAAAAUUAACUGUACUUACAUAUAAAUUUACCCUUUGUCAAGUAGACUAAUAAUGUAUAGAACUAUAUAUAGACAACGACAAGUGAAAAUACACGCACAAAAAAAAAUCUUAGUCAUGAAAAUAAUUUUGGUAUUCAAUUGAACCCAACGUUUCCACAAAUAAGUGUUGCAUUGAAGUGAAAUGACAAUAACAUAAGGUUUAAUUUACAUAAAGGAAGAAAGUAUGAGCCGAACUAGAUUUCUAGCUACGGAUUCAAGAGAAUUCCUAGCUUUUGACAAAGUUCUGUAUUUGUGUUAAAAAUUAGUCAGUAUGUACAAAUAAUUUAAACUUAAUAAAUUACUUUUCCUAGAAUUCACGACUCAUACACUCAAAAUCUUGGAUCGACUGACAUGUAUAACAUAUUUUUAUAACAUCAAUGGCGAGACCAACAACGAAAAGUUCACGAUGGAGCUGUAUGAGAUGAAGUCUCAAGUACAAUUCUUAGAGAAGAGAAUAUCUACCUACUAAAGCUUCGAUCAAAUACCAUGUGUCAAUGUCAAUUUUGAACCACUUUUGAGUUUUGACUAGUUUCCAAAAGCAGCUACUUAUUGGGGUUCGUUGGUUCAAUUGGAUUUCAAAAUUCAUAAAUAGGAUUUUUUUUAUUAUGAUGAUCUAAACAGUUAACACCAAUAAAUUUUGAAUUUAUCCAUUAUAGUAAUGAUGAUAUUUAACACUAAUUGAUAAUCAUUGGCCCUUAAGUCUUCUUUUAAAGAAAAAAUAUAGAGAUUAUGGAAACUAAUGAAAGUUGACUGAUUUGAUUUUAUGAUUAAAUAAAAAAUAUUUAGUAACUCUUCUGGAAAAUUUUAUGUGAAGUUAGACUGAACUUAAGACUUAAUAUUAUGUUUAGGACCUUUCCACAAAAAUGAAAAAAAAAAUUACAUUUAUUGAUUUAGUUGAAAUAUUAAGUGUGAUCUUUUCUGAAGAUUUUUGAAAAUGAAACUUAUUAUAAGGCAGCAUUUUCACAUCUUUGUGUUUGAUGCAGAUUAUGGGUUUUUGUUACUGUCUUAUAGAUUGUAUUAUGCUCUUGAUGUUUAACCCUCUGUUUGGAUGGUGGUUUUCCAUGGUAUGGUAUGAUAUAGUUAUUAAGAGAAUCACGUUUGCUUUGA